UACGUAGGGUGCAGGCGUUUAAUCGGAAUUACUGGGCGUAAAGCGUGCGCAGGCGGUUUUGUAAGUCAGAUGUGAAAUCCCCGGGCUUAACCUGGGAACUGCGUUUGAAACUACAAGGCUAGAGUGUGGCAGAGGGGGGUGGAAUUCCACGUGUAGCAGUGAAAUGCGUAGAGAUGUGGAGGAACACCGAUGGCGAAGGCAGCCCCCCUGGGUUAACACUGACGCUCAGGCACGAAAGCGUGGGGAGCAAACAGG
rnacentral:rRNA from 1 species